rnacentral:rRNA from 1 species
GACGAACGCUGGCGGCGUGCCUAAUACAUGCAAGUCGAACGCAGUGGGGACGGGUGAGUAACACGUGGUUAACCUCCCAUCAGAGGGGAUAACACUUGGAAACAGGUGCUAAACCGUUACUGCUGGCUGGACACGCGGUGCAUUAGCUAGUUGGUGAGGUAACGGCUCACCAAGGCCACGAUGCAUAGCCGACCUGAGAGGGGGAUCGGCCACACUGGGACUGAGACACGGCCCAGACUCCUACGGGAGGCAGCAGUAGGGAAUCUUCGGCAAUGGACGAAAGUCUGACGGAGCAACGCCGCGUGAGUGAAGAAGGUUUUCGGAUCGUAAAACUCUGUUAUUAGAGAAGCGGUAUCUAACCAGAAAGCAACGGCUAACUACGUGCCAGCCGCCGCGGUAAUUC